rnacentral:rRNA from 2 species
GGGUGCGAUCAUACCAGCACUAAAGCAUCGGAUCCCAUCAGAACUCCGAAGUUAAGCGUGCUUGGGCGAGAGUAGUACUAGGAUGGGUGACCUCCUAGGAAGUCCUCGUGUUGCAUUCC